GUAAAAUUAUUUAAAAAUACAACAAUACAAUAACACAUCAACAACAUUCUGAAUACUACAACAAUACUUACUAAAUUACUUUUCAACAAUUUAGAAAAAUAAUAUAUACCAUAAUACAAGAAUACAAUGACAUUGUCAAAAACACGUUAACAUUCUCAAUACAAUAACACAAUAAGAAUGAAAUAACUACAACAACAAUAUAUAACAAUCUCAAUCUCAC
rnacentral:lncRNA from 1 species